rnacentral:rRNA from 1 species
GUGCACCAGUCGCGAAACUUUACAAUGUGCGAAAGCACGAUAAGGGAACUCUGAGUGCCUCCUAAGGAGGCUGUUCAGGUGUCUAAAAGCACCUGAAGGAAGGGCUGGGUAAGACCGGUGCCAGCCGCCGCGGUAACACCGGCACGCCCAAGUGGUAGCCUACGUUUAGUUGGGUACUAAAGCGUCCGUAGCCGGCGUGGGUAA